CGCGGGGUAGAGCAGUUGGUAGCUCGUCGGGCUCAUAACCCGGAGGUCGUUGGUUCAAAUCCGGCCCCCGCAACCA
rnacentral:tRNA from 2 species